rnacentral:rRNA from 1 species
AACGAACGCUGGCGGCAUGCUUAACACAUGCAAGUCGAACGUGAUCCUUGGCCUUCGGGCUUGGGUGAAAGUAGGCGGACGGGUGAGUAACGCGUGGGAACCUGCCUGGUGGUAGGGAAUAACCGCGGGAAACUGCGGCUAAUACCCUAUGAGCCCCGGAUUUCCGUCUGGGGAAAGAUUUAUCGCCAUCGGAGGGGCCCGCGUCGGAUUAGGUAGUUAGGUGGGGUAACGGCCUACCAAGCCUACGAUCCGUAGCUGGUCUGAGAGGAUGAUCAGCCACACUGGGACUGAGAUACGGCCCAGACUCCUACGGGAGGCAGCAGGUGGGGAAUAUUGGACAAUGGGCGCAAGCCUGAUCCAGCAAUGCCGCGUGAGUG